AGCAUUAUACCGUGAAACUGCGAAUGGCUCAUUAAAUCAGUUAUCGUUUAUUUGAUAAUACCUUACUACUUGGAUAACCGUGGUAAUUCUAGAGCUAAUACAUGCUGAAAAUCCCGACUUCGGAAGGGAUGUGUUUAUUAGAUAAAAAACCAAUGCCCUUCGGGGCUCUUUGGUGAUUCAUGAUAACUUUACGGAUCGCAUAGCCUUGCGCUGGCGACGGUUCAUUCAAAUUUCUGCCCUAUCAACUUUCGAUGGUAAGGUAUUGGCUUACCAUGGUUUCAACGGGUAACGGGGAAUUAGGGUUCGAUUCCGGAGAGGGAGCCUGAGAAACGGCUACCACAUCCAAGGAAGGCAGCAGGCGCGCAAAUUACCCAAUCCCGACACGGGGAGGUAGUGACAAUAAAUACUGAUACAGGGCUCUUUUGGGUCUUGUAAUUGGAAUGAGUACAAUUUAAACCUCUUAACGAGGAACAAUUGGAGGGCAAGUCUGGUGCCAGCAGCCGCGGUAAUUCCAGCUCCAAUAGCGUAUAUUAAAGUUGUUGCAGUUAAAAAGCUCGUAGUUGAAACUUGGGCCUGGCUGGCGGGUCCGCCUCACCGCGUGCACUCGUCCGGCCGGGCCUUCCUUCUGAAGAACCUCAUGCCCUUCACUGGGCGUGUUGGGGAAUCAGGACUUUUACUUUGAAAAAAUUAGAGUGUUCAAAGCACGCCUUUGCUCGAAUACGUUAGCAUGGAAUAAUAAAAUAGGGCGUGCGUUUCUAUUUUGUUGGUUUCUAGAGACGCCGCAUGAUUAACAGGAACAGUCGGGGCAUCAGUAUUCAGUUGUCAGAGGUGAAAUUCUUGGGAUUUACUGAAGACUAACUACUGCGAAAGCAUUUGCC
rnacentral:rRNA from 1 species